GGAGAGAGGAAGAAGGGGUGAGAGGAGAAACCUGCCGCCGCUCGCCGCCUCUUUGUCUGCUCUGGGACUUGGAACAAAAGGGGGAACUCUGAUGAACUCUCUCUCCGCCCCUCUCCCCCGGACGCGCGGGUAUCUCCCUCUCGCAACUUUGCCGCCGCGACUUUCUCCGCUGUCAGGCCACACAAAAGUGUCCGAACGCCUCGAGGACCGCGACAAGGGAAGUGUCUCUUCAAAGUGCGACCAAGUGGGGAAGAAGGUGUGAUUACUGUGGUCAGCAUCUAGAAAACAGAAGCACUCCCGCCUCCUCUGUGCUACAUCCUUCUUACUGGAUCUUUCUAUCAGUGAACAUUGUGGAAGUACCAUUACUACAUCGUCAUUCCUGAAGGAAAAGUUGCCAAACUUUUUUCUUUGGAGUUGUUUCAAAGUUGUUGGAAUUUUUGAUGAUGCCUCCCCUAUGUGGAUUACUACUGUUUGAACACUGGGAAUUCUCCAUCUUAAAGAAGAUGCUUUUGCUAUCUGGAAACUUAUGCCCACGUCUGUGACUGCGGGUCAGAAUUGCUUUCCUCACAGUCUGAUUGGGAGAGUUGUUAAACAUUGGAAUGUCCUUCUGAGCUGGGCUGUGGAAUGUCAUCGCUCCCAGGUGACUACAGAAGCCUCGACACCCAGCGUGAUCAGGAGUUGGCAACAGUCUCAUUUCACUGGUGAGUUUGCUGAAGUGUUAUCACAAGACAACCAGAAUGAUGGAUGAGCUCUUCAGGUAGGGAAAUGCUGCCAGCCCGGUUUGUAUUUGGUCUACCUCGAGUUCUGCUGC
rnacentral:lncRNA from 1 species